rnacentral:lncRNA from 10 species
CUGAGCUCCACAUUCACAGUCCUGCCAUUCCCACGUCUCCACGGGGGGAUAAGCAGGGCCAAUGAAUUCCAUGCCAUGCCCUGGUUCGUGAGGCUGGUAGAAAUUCUUUGCAAUUUAAGACCACUGCUGUGACAUUACCUACAAGGCUUCUUUUCCAUGAAUCUGUUACAUCCAACAGUAGGAACCGGCGGGUCCGUGGCUGAUGGAUGCUACAAGUACUAACCAGCAACGAGAGCAUCUACCACAGCUGAACUACUUGGGAAAAAAAAGAAAGCAAUAAUUUGAUUAUAGAUAGUGAGAUGGCUUAGUCCAGCUCACAGGACAUCUGUGUUUUGAUGGAGAUAAAUUUAAGAACCAGCAGUCUUGGAAUUAUGCAGCAAAUUUUGCCAAGGCUACAGGAAACUCAGUGUGAAAGUUGAUUAUGCAAAUUGCAUCAUUCUUGUCAUGCCCAACUAAAGAAGAGUUGACAGAGCAGCGGGAAAAAGUACUCAAGACACAGCACAUGCUCCAAGAAUUGAGUUUUCUCCAAGCCCAGCUGUUGAAACAGCCUGCUGUAACCAUAAGACCAGUUUUACUUAGCAGCUGCUGAAACAACCUGCUAUGACUUUAAGACUAGUUUUAUCUACUACCAUCACUCACCAAUCAGACCCGGGCAGCUCCCACAAGCUUCUCUAGGGUCAAUGAGCUUUCUUUCAAAACUGUAAGUAACAUUUCCCUUUCUAAUAAAACCCCCAAUCUUUCCUUUGUUCUUUGGACAUGCUGAAGACCACCCAGUCUGUUUGCAUGCCCCAAAUGUGAUUCUAUGAUUCCCAAAUAAAACAUUAAAUUUAGAGAUUUGUCUCUACAUUUUAUUUUGACUUUGACAUCAGCUUAAGUUUUUUUUUUUCCCACUUGCAUUUCUUGGCCUACAUGGUUUGGCAUAAUUUUAUUUUCUUUCCUGAAUCCUUCAUUACUUGAUUAGCAUUCCAUUGCUUACUGGUUUUAUACUUUGUAUGUGAGUCUUUUAUUGGAAAUGUCCUCAAAUCUGAGAAUUUAUACUCACCAGAUGUACACAUAUUAUAAAGGCAUUUAUGUCCAUAUAAUUUCCAGCACCUUGAAAUGAUGGAAAAUUAGAAACUUGCUCUAUGUCAACAUACACUGUUUAAAGUCUAUCUUUCCUGUUGAUGGUCAUCUCCAAGGAGAUCAGCAUAGGUCUGGUUUGUUUGAUUUUUUUAAACUACACUGCCUAACUAAAUCUCUGCAUUACUCAAGGUUUUAACAGAUAUUUUAAUUAAUUGGCUAAUUGUUUAUUUGUUACUUGUCAUGAGUUACAGAAAUCCAAGUAUGUUUCUCAAUUCAAUAAAAUUCCAAGUAGAAUUUCUUACCGAACUUUAGCCUUUCUACUAAAAGGGAAAUUGGAGAGAAUCCAAAUUCAAUAUUUUUAUGAACUCAAAGAUGUGAAUCUACAUUAUAAUAAAU